rnacentral:miRNA from 1 species
CCGACCGUGGGUGCCCCGUGCCCACCACCCCUGGCGGGCUCCUGUGGGCUCAGAGCAGCCACAGGAGGAAGGGCG